UGGACCAAUGGUGACAACCGCCAGUGAAUAAGUUGCAGAUGAUGAAUGCCAUGUGUCUAGGACUCCAAGGUCUAU
ensembl:snoRNA small nucleolar RNA SNORD113/SNORD114 family